rnacentral:lncRNA from 1 species
UUGAGACAUCAUUGGUCUCAAGAUCCUCUUAAUUAUAUGAUUAUUGAAUUUUUUAAUAAUGAGGAGAAGUAAAAGAAUUCUUGGAGUCAUUGUAGCUACUAUUUUAAGCCUUAUUUCUGUUGCUACUUUGGCAGCCAUUUCCAGCAUAGCAUUAAAAACAUCUAUGGAGACAAAGCAUUUUGUUGAAGACUGGCAUAAAGAUUCACAUGAGUUAUGGAUAGAGCAAACUAAAACUGAUACUAGACUUCAACAUCAAGUAGAUGUUUCAAAACAAACAGUAGAAUGGUUGGGUCGAAAGAAGUUAUUCAUUGAAAAAUAUGAGGAUUUAAGAUAUGAUUGAAAUCCUACUACUUUUGUGUUAAUAAAUAUAUGGAUAAUGAUACAGAACAUGAUUGGAAGUUAAUUCAAGCCUAUUUAGAAGGUAAUGAAAGUGCUACAAAAGUAAUUAAUGCCUUGAAAUACGAUGCUCGAAUGUCUUUUGGUAAACAGCUAGAAGAUACUACCCCUAUGUAAAUAGCUAAAUUAUUGGAUGAUCAAUUGACAGGAUUAGAUCCCAAGGCUUGGCUUCAAAGGAUUUUCCAUAGC